CAACAGCACAUGGGAAAUCUGUAGCAAAGUCCGGGAUAAUCCCAGUUCUCCUGAUUCCAGUCUAGAGCCUUAAGCACUAGAGCAGUUGUUUUCCUUCUGUAGCCUUCUUCCAGCUUCUUCAGUGAAUGAGACUGUGUUCCUUCACACAGCGGCAGCAUGAAUAUUUAAGUUAACAGCUGGACAUCCCCACAGAGAAGUUUCAGUGGAAUAUCAAAACACCUGUGCUUAUCUGGUUGUCCAUCGUUAAGGAAGAUCUCCUGUUCCAUCUAGAGUUCCUGAUUUCUGAUAGCUGUCCUCAAGGUCUCGACCUGAGUUAUGUGAGAAUCAAGACAGACAAGAGUGAUAGACCCUACAGGGGAAUUGAUCCAUUUAGGGCGGUGGGGUCGUUACAUCAAUUCCACUAGUCUCUUCUGGUAACACAAGGAUGGAUGUGUGCAAGGACUAUGCCUGCAAUGGAUUGUGCACGGUAAU